GCAAGUCGAACGAAGAUAUUAUUUAGACGACUUCGGUUUAAAGAAUAAUCAUCUUAGUGGCGAACGGGUGAGUAACAGGUAGGAAACCUACCCUAAAGACGGGGAUAACAUUUGGAAACGGAUGCUAAUACCGGAUAGUAUACGGAAUCGCAUGGUUCUGUAUUUAAAGAUGCGUGUGCAUCACUUUAGGAGGGUCCUGCUUCGUAUUAGAUAGUUGGUGAGGUAGUGGCUCACCAAGUCAACGAUGCGUAGCCGGCCUGAGAGGGUGAAC
rnacentral:rRNA from 1 species